rnacentral:rRNA from 1 species
UACGAAGGGGGCUAGCGUUGCUCGGAAUCACUGGGCGUAAAGCGCACGUAGGCGGCUUCUUAAGUCAGGGGUGAAAUCCUGGAGCUCAACUCCAGAACUGCCUUUGAUACUGAGGAUCUUGAGUCCGGGAGAGGUGAGUGGAACUGCGAGUGUAGAGGUGAAAUUCGUAGAUAUUCGCAAGAACACCAGUGGCGAAGGCGGCUCACUGGCCCGGUACUGACGCUGAGGCACGAAAGCGUGGGGAGCAACAGG